rnacentral:rRNA from 1 species
UAGGGAAUCUUCGGCAAUGGACGUAAGUCUGACCGAGCAACGCCGCGUGAGUGAAGAAGGUUUUCGGAUCGUAAAACUCUGUUGUUAGAGAAGAACAAGGACGUUAGUAACUGAACGUCCCCUGACGGUAUCUAACCAGAAAGCCACGGCUAACUACGUGCCAGCAGCCGCGGUAAUACGUAGGUGGCAAGCGUUGUCCGGAUUUAUUGGGCGUAAAGCGAGCGCAGGCGGUUUCUUAAGUCUGAUGUGAAAGCCCCCGGCUCAACCGGGGAGGGUCAUUGGAAACUGGGAGACUUGAGUGCAGAAGAGGAGGGUGGAAUUCCAUGUGUAGCGGUGAAAUGCGUAGAUAUAUGGAGGAACACCAGUGGCGAAGGCGGCUCUCUGGUCUGUAACUGACGCUGAGGCUCGAAAGCGUGGGGAGCAAACAGG